AUUGAACGCUGGCGGCAUGCCUUACACAUGCAAGUCGAACGGCAGCACGGAGCAAUCCUGGUGGCGAGUGGCGAACGGGUGAGUAAUAUAUCGGAACGUGCCCAGUCGUGGGGGACAACGUAGCGAAAGCUACGCUAAUACCGCAUACGAUCUAUGGAUGAAANCGGGGGAUCGCAAGACCUCGCGCGAUUGGAGCGGCCGAUAUCAGAUUAGGUAGUUGGUGAGGUAAAGGCUCACCAAGCCGACGAUCUGUAGCUGGUCUGAGAGGACGACCAGCCACACUGGGACUGAGACACGGCCCAGACUCCUACGGGAGGCAGCAGCGGGGAAUUUUGGACAAUGGGCGCAAGCCUGAUCCAGCAAUGCCGCGUGCAGGAUGAAGGCCUUCGGGUUGUAAACUGCUUUGUACGGAACGAAACGGUGAGCUCUAAUACAGUUUGCUAAUGACGGUACCGUAAGAAUAAGCACCGGCUAACUACGUG
rnacentral:rRNA from 1 species